GACGAACGCUGGCGGCGUGCUUAACACAUGCAAGUCGAGCGAUGAAGUUCCUUCGGGAAUGGAUUAGCGGCGGACGGGUGAGUAACACGUGGGUAACCUGCCUCAUAGAGGGGAAUAGCCUUUCGAAAGGAAGAUUAAUACCGCAUAAGAUUGUAGUAUCGCAUGAUACAGCAAUUAAAGGAGUAAUCCGCUAUGAGAUGGACCCGCGUCGCGUUCGCUAGUUGGUGAGGUAACGGCUCACCAAGGCGACGAUGCGUAGCCGACCUGAGCGGGUGAUCGGCGACAUUGGGACUGAGACACGGCCCAGACUCCUACGGGAGGCAGCAGUGGGGAAUAUUGCACAAUGGGGGAAACCCUGAUGCAGCAACGCCGCGUGAGUGAUGACGGUCUUCGGAUUGUAAAACUCAGUCUUCAGGGACGAUAAUGACGGUACCUGAGGAGGAAGCCACGGCUAACUACGUGCCAGCAGCCGCCGUAAUAC
rnacentral:rRNA from 1 species